UGGGGAAUAUUGCGCAAUGGGCGGAAGCCUGACGCAGCGACGCCGCGUGGGGGAUGACGGCCUUCGGGUUGUAAACCUCUUUCGACCUCGACGAAGCCUCUUUGGGGGUGACGGUAGGGGUGGAAGAAGCACCGGCCAACUACGUGCCAGCAGCCGCGGUAACACGUAGGGUGCGAGCGUUGUCCGGAAUUAUUGGGCGUAAAGAGCUCGUAGGCGGUGUGUCACGUCGNCCGUGAAAACCUGCAGCUUAACUGUGGGCGUGCGGUCGAUACGGGCAUCACUGGAGUUCGGCAGGGGAGACUGGAAUUCCUGGUGUAGCGGUGAAAUGCGCAGAUAUCAGGAGGAACACCGGUGGCGAAGGCGGGUCUCUGGGCCGAUACUGACGCUGAGGAGCGAAAGCGUGGGGAGCGAACAGGAUUAGAUACCCUGGUAGUCCACGCCGUAAACGGUGGGCACUAGGUGUGGGGGCCAUUCCACGGUCUCUGUGCCGCAGCUAACGCAUUAAGUGCCCCCCNUUAAGGGUACGGCCGCAAGGCUA
rnacentral:rRNA from 1 species